AACGGUCUAUACCUGCGGUACCUGCGGAAGGAUCAUUACAUGGCGGAGAAGGUGGGCAACCUGGCCAACAUCCAGGUUGUGAUGCCUUCACGCUCUUCCACCCUUGUCUAUUUGCACCUUCUGUCGUUCCCUCGGCGGGUUUCGACCCGCCGGCGGCAACAUUGAAAAACCCUUUUUGCAGUUAGCAUUCAAUUCUUCUGAUCAAAUAUUAAAUCAUUACAACUUUUAGCAAUGGAUCUC
rnacentral:misc_RNA from 1 species